rnacentral:rRNA from 1 species
GGUCUGUCGAAUAGCCCGGCUACUCCGUGCAGCAGCGCGGUAAUCGGAGGGGCAAGCGUAUCCGGAUUAUUGGUUAAGGGUCCGUAGGCGGAUGGUAAGUCAGUGGUGAAUCUCACAGCUUAACUGUGAAACUGCCAUUGAUACUGCAUGUCUUGAGUAAGGUAGAAGUGGCUGGAAUAAGUAGUGUAGCGGUGAAAUGCAUAGAUAUUACUUAGAACACCAAUUGCGAAGGCAGGUCACUAUGUCUUAACUGACGCUGAUGGACGAAAGCGUGGGGAGCGAACAGGAUUAGAUACCCUGGUAGUCCACGCUGUAAACGAUGCUUACUCGUUUUUGGGGAUUUAUCUUCAGAGACUAAGCGAAAGUGAUAAGUAAGCCACCUGGGGAGUACGAACGCAAGUUUGAAACUCAAAGGAAUUGACGGGGGCCCGCACAAGCGGUGGAUUAUGUGGUUUAAUUCGAUGAUACGCGAGGAACCUUACCAAGGCUUAAAUGGGAAUUGAUCGGUUUAGAAAUAGACCUUCCUUCGGGCAAUUUUCAAGGUGCUGCAUGGUUGUCGUCAGCUCGUGCCGUGAGGUGUUAGGUUAAGUCCUGCAACGAGCGCAACCCCUGUUACUAGUUGCUACCAUUAAGUUGAGGACUCUAGUAAGACUGCCUACGCAAGUAGAGAGGAAGGUGGGGAUGACGUCAAAUCAUCACGGCCCUUACGCCUUGGGCCACACACGUAAUACAAUGGCCGGUACAGAGGGCAGCUACACAGCGAUGUGAUGCAAAUCUCGAAAGCCGGUCUCAGUUCGGAUUGGAGUCUGCAACUCGACUCUAUGAAGCUGGAAUCGCUAGUAAUCGCGCAUCAGCCAUGGCGCGGUGAAUACGUUCCCGGGCCUUGUACACACCGCCCGUCAAGCCAUGGAAGUCUGGGGUACCUGAAGUCGGUGACCGUAAAAGGAGCGCCUAGGUAAAUCG